UACGAAGGGGGCUAGCGUUGCUCGGAAUCACUGGGCGUAAAGGGUGCGUAGGCGGUUCUUUAAGUCAGGGGUGAAAUCCUGGAGCUCAACUCCAGAACUGCCUUUGAUACUGAGGAUCUUGAGUUCGGGAGAGGUGAGUGGAACUGCGAGUGUAGAGGUGAAAUUCGUAGAUAUUCGCGAGAACACCAGUGGCGAAGGCGGCUCACUGGCCCGAUACUGACGCUGAGGCACGAAAGCGUGGGGAGCAAACAGG
rnacentral:rRNA from 1 species